UGCCAGCCGCCGCGGUAAUACGGAGGGUGCAAGCGUUGUUCGGAUUUACUGGGCGUAAAGGGUGCGUAGGCGGCGUUAUAAGUCAGAGGUGAAAGCUUGCAGCUUAACUGUAAAAUUGCCUUUGAAACUGUAGUGCUUGAAUCACGUUGAGGUCAGCGGAAUGUGACAUGUAGCGGUGAAAUGCUUAGAUAUGUCAUAGAACACCAAUUGCGUAGGCAGCUGGCUGGGCGUGUAUUGACGCUGAGGCACGAAAGCGUGGGCAGCGAACAGGAUUAGAUA
rnacentral:rRNA from 1 species